GAUCUUUGACAUACUUGAUAUAAACAAUGGCGAAUACAGAUAAUCUGCGGGUGCAAGGCCCGCGAGUGAUUAACCAUUGUCGUUAGUCUUUGGCCUAUUGCGCAAAGAGCGAAGCCGUGGAAGGCACGGAAGCCCCGAGGGUCGUAACCCUCCUGACGACAC
rnacentral:sRNA from 12 species